rnacentral:lncRNA from 1 species
ACUCAAUAAAAGCAUAGACAGAGAAGGCAGAAACUGCUGUGACUCCUGGGGCUGAAGGAUGAGCAAAGAAAGCCCUACCAGGAGGUGGUAGAAAAGCAAGGGUUAGCCAAGUACAUCUUUUAUUACUGCAUCAGGUGCAAGGAUCUAGCAGACCCCACAGGAAGGAGAGAGGAGCUGCUGCAGAAAUUUGGUUUCUACUGGGCUGCAAGUUCCCCUUGCUCACAAAAGCAGAUCAACAUAAUACCAGGUCUCUCUUCAAAGCAAUGAUGCAUUUCCUGGGAAGAUGGAACUGUUUGCUGAGACUCCAAGAAGUCUUGGAGAAGCUUUAAGAAGACUUUAAAGAUUGCCAUCCAGCUGUUCUACAUUUGAUGAGGUGUAUGUGACAAGGUGAUGGCACAGUGUGACGUGUCCUCAUGAGAUGAGUAAGGGAAGUCAUCAGGGCUCUGGCCAGUGAUGUGACAGAAAACUCAAGAAAUACAGCAAGAAGGUAAGCUCAUUUGUCUGGCUGCUGUCUCUUAGGGAAGAAUGAUGAGACUCAGGAUCUGAAGGUGGUUUGGUAAUUAGGAUAAACACUAUUAAGAAUUUGACCAGAAAACAAGACUUUAUCCAAUCCAAGACAGACAAGGACAGAGUCACCUUCUGGAGUCUCCAGGGAAAUGGUGCAUUAUGCCAAAAAUACAAAGACAUGACCUGUGUGGCAAGUCUGAUAAGGAAAUAGAUACACUACUAGGCCAGUACACCAGGAAGUGAUGGAUAAAAAUCCACAGAGCAAUCAAUCUGAGUUAAAACCAUUUGAAAAUGAGCCUCAAAUACCUUGCUUUCUGCAUCCAGACAUUUAGACUGAAUGUAAACUUCCAUCUGAAGGCUGAUGCUGUUGAGGAUCAGAUCCAUGCUUCAACAGCCAGCCUAAAAUGACAAGCUAUAAAGGAUUAGGGACACAACCAGGUGCUGCUUCGAGGAGUGACGAGUUUUCAGGUCUUGGGAUUCUGUUGGUAUAACAAAUUGAGUAUGUCACUCAAUAAAGGGAGUGAUUUUUUUGUUAAGGCUAAGUGU